rnacentral:rRNA from 1 species
GACGAACGCUGGCGGCGUGCUUAACACAUGCAAGUCGAACGCUGAAGCCCUUCGGGGUGGAUGAGUGGCGAACGGGUGAGUAACACGUGGGUAAUCUGCCCUGCACUCUGGGAUAAGCCUUGGAAACGGGGUCUAAUACCGGAUAGGACACAUCGCCGCAUGGUGUGUGUGGAAAGUUCCGGCGGUGCAGGUUGAGCCCGCGGCCUAUCAGCUUGUUGGUGGGGUGAUGGCCUACCAAGGCGACGACGGGUAGCCGGCCUGAGAGGGUGACCGGCCACACUGGGACUGAGACACGGCCCAGACUCCUACGGGAGGCAGCAGUGGGGAAUCUUGCGCAAUGGGCGAAAGCCUGACGCAGCAACGCCGCGUGGGGGAUGACGGCCUUCGGGUUGUAAACCUCUUUCGACCGGGACGAAGGAUUCGUUUGACAGUACCGGUAGAAGAAGCACCGGCUAACUACGUGCCAGCAGCCGCGGUAAAAC